rnacentral:rRNA from 1 species
AUCAUGAGUUCACAUGUCCGCAUGAUUAAAGGUAUCUUCCGGUAGACGAUGGGGAUGCGUUCCAUUAGAUAGUAGGCGGGGUAACGGCCCACCUAGUCAACGAUGGAUAGGGGUUCUGAGAGGAAGGUCCCCCACAUUGGAACUGAGACACGGUCCAAACUCCUACGGGAGGCAGCAGUGAGGAAUAUUGGUCAAUGGGCGAUGGCCUGAACCAGCCAAGUAGCGUGAAGGAUGACUGCCCUAUGGGUUGUAAACUUCUUUUAUAAAGGAAUAAAGUCGGGUAUGCAUACCCGUUUGCAUGUACUUUAUGAAUAAGGAUCGGCUAACUCCGUGCCAGCAGCCGCGGUAAUACGGAGGAUCCGAGCGUUAUCCGGAUUUAUUGGGUUUAAAGGGAGCGUAGAUGGAUGUUUAAGUCAGUUGUGAAAGUUUGCGGCUCAACCGUAAAAUUGCAGUUGAUACUGGAUGUCUUGAGUGCAGUUGAGGCAGGCGGAAUUCGUGGUGUAGCGGUGAAAUGCUUAGAUAUCACGAAGAACUCCGAUUG